AGUGAACGCUGGCGGUAGGCCUAACACAUGCAAGUCGAACGGCAGCACAGUAAGAGCUUGCUCUUACGGGUGGCGAGUGGCGGACGGGUGAGGAAUACAUCGGAAUCUACUUUUUCGUGGGGGAUAACGGAGGGAAACUUACGCUAAUACCGCAUACGACCUACGGGUGAAAGCAGUGGAGCUUCGGACCUUGCGCGAUUGAAUGAGCCGAUGUCGGAUUAGCUAGUUGGCGGGGUAAAGGCCCACCAAGGCGACGAUCCGUAGCUGGUCUGAGAGGAUGAUCAGCCACACUGGAACUGAGACACGGUCCAGACUCCUACGGGAGGCAGCAGUGGGGAAUAUUGGACAAAGGGCGCAAGCCUGAUCCAGCCAUACCGCGUGGGUGAAGAAGGCCUUCGGGUUGUAAAGCCCUUUUGUUGGGAAAGAAAAGCAGCAGGUUAAUACCCCGAUGUUCUGACGGUACCCAAAGAAUAAGCACCGGCUAACUUCGUG
rnacentral:rRNA from 1 species